UCCGAGUUGACCCCGGCAGUCUCCUGCGAGUCCCCGCCAUUACGCGCUGGCAACACAGGACAAGGGUUGCGCUCGUUGCGGGACUUAACCCAACAUCUCACGACACGAGCUGACGACAACCAUGCACCACCUGUUUACGAGUGUCCAAAGAGUUGACCAUUUCUGGCCCGUUCUCGUAUAUGUCAAGUCUUGGUUAGGUUCUUCGCGUUGCAUCGAAUUAAUCCGCAUGCUCCGCUGCUUGUGCGGGCCCCCGUCAAUUCCUUUGAGUUUUAGCCUUGCGGCCGUACUCCCCAGGCGGGACACUUAAUGCGUUAGCUUCGGCACGGGAGGAGUCGACACCUCCCACACCUAGUGUCCAUCGUUUACAGCGUGGACUAC
rnacentral:misc_RNA from 1 species